CUUUUUUUUUUUUUUUUUUUUUUUUUUUUUUUUUUUUUUUUUUUAUUAUUACGGUUUUAUGCUCAUUUAUCUUUAUAGAUACGUACUAAUGGACGUUUGGGUAUGUGAAGAUUUUGAAUUUUCGAAGGGGAUAUUUAUAUAUGCUACGAACUUCCCUAAAUCGUCUUUAAUAACAAAGAAUAUAAAUUUAUACAAUGAAACAUGCAUAGAGAUCGAUAUAACUACGAAUAUAUUUAUUUUGCCUCAAGGGUCUGAAGAAACUCUAGUCAAAAGCUAUAUAGAAAUAUCUCCAAAUAUGAACCUAAAUGAAACGCUAGUUUCGUUUGUAACAAAAGUGUUCACAAAAAGCUGUUUGACUCACUUUAUUGAUGCAUGUAAAAAAUUCGAAUCAAAUAAGGAAUAUACUGAAAGAUUGCAAAAAAAUAAUUUAUUUUAUGACCAUUUGAAGAAGGCUGCAAAGGAAUGUAAGUUAUAUUAAUAGAGCAGAAAAAAAAAAAAAAAAAAAAAAAAUAUAUAUAUAUAUAUAUAUAUAUAUAAUAAAAUAUAACAUAAUAUAACA
rnacentral:lncRNA from 1 species